rnacentral:tRNA from 1 species
GGAGAGGUGGCCGAGUGGCUUAAGGCGCACGCUUGGAAAGCGUGUUUACUCCAAAAGGGUAACCCGGGUUCGAAUCCCGGUCUCUCCGCAA